CCUACGGGUGACAGCAGUGGGGAAUAUUGCACAAUGGGGGGGACCCUGAUGCAGCGACGCCGCGUGGGUGAAGGAGUACUUCGGUACGUAAAGCCCUAUCAGCAGGAAAGAAAAUGACGGUACCUGACUAAGAAACCCCGGCUAACUACAUUCCAGAAGCCGCGGUAAUACGUAGGGGGCAAGCGUUCUCCGGAUUUACUGGGUGUAAAGGGAGCGUAUACGGCAUUGCAAGUCCGGAGUGAAAGCCCGGGGCUCAACCCUGGGACUGCUGUGGAAACUGUAAAGCUGGAGUGCGGGAGGGGCAGGCGGAAUUCGUGGUGUAGCGGUGAAAUGCGUAGAUAUCAGGAGGAACACCGGCUGCGAAGGCGGCCUGCUGGACCGUAACUGACGUUGAGGCUCGAAAGCGUGGGGAGCAAACAGGAUUAGAUACCCUUGUAGUC
rnacentral:rRNA from 1 species